AGGAUGAACGCUGGCGGCGUGCCUAAUACAUGCAAGUCGAACGGGGAUAGUAAUAUCUUAGUGGCGACCGGGUGCGUAACACGUAGCUAACCUGCCCUCAGCGGGGGACAACUGUUGGAAACGACAGCUAAUACCGCAUGAUAUUGGAGAGACUAAAUAUUUCCAAUUAAACUUACGGGGCUGAGGGAGGGGGCUGCGGCCCAUCAGGUAGUUGGUGCGGUAAAAGCGUACCAAGCCAAUGACGGGUAGGGGGCCUGAGAGGGUGGUCCCCCACACUGGGACUGACAACGGCCCAGACUCCUACGGGAGGCAGCAGUAAGGGAUAUUGCGCAAUGGGCGAAAGCCUGACGCAGCAACGCCGCGUGGAGGAUGAAGGCCUUCGGGUCGUAAACUUCUUUUAGCAGGGACGAGGAAGGACGGUACCUGCGGAAUCAGUCACGGCUAACUACGCGCCAGCAGCCGC
rnacentral:rRNA from 1 species